rnacentral:rRNA from 1 species
UUACGUAUGUCUCAAGCGUUACCCGGAAUCACUGGGUGUAAAGGGUUCGUAGGCGGUUUGAUAAGUUGGAUAUGAAAGACCGGAGCUCAACUCCGUGUUGGUGUUCAAAACUGUCAAACUAGAAUCAGGGAGAGGUAAGCGGAAUUCUAAGUGUAGGGGUGCAAUCCGUAGAUACUUAGAGGAACACCGAAAGCGAAGGCAGCUUACUGGAACUGUAUUGACGCUCAUGAACGAAAGCGUGGGGAGCGAAAAGGAUUAGAAACCCUAGUAGUCC